rnacentral:rRNA from 1 species
AAACCCAGUGUGUUUCGACACACUAUCAUUAACUGAAUCCAUAGGUUAAUGAGGCGAACCGGGGGAACUGAAACAUCUAAGUACCCCGAGGAAAAGAAAUCAACCGAGAUUCCCCCAGUAGCGGCGAGCGAACGGGGAGGAGCCCAGAGCCUGAAUCAGUGUGUGUGUUAGUGGAAGCGUCUGGAAAGGCGUGCGAUACAGGGUGACAGCCCCGUACACAAAAAUGCACAUAUUGUGAGCUCGAUGAGUAGGGCGGGACACGUGGUAUCCUGUCUGAAUAUGGGGGGACCAUCCUCCAAGGCUAAAUACUCCUGACUGACCGAUAGUGAACCAGUACCGUGAGGGAAAGGCGAAAAGAACCCCGGCGAGGGGAGUGAAAAAGAACCUGAAACCGUGUACGUACAAGCAGUGGGAGCCUCUUAAUGGGGUGACUGCGUACCUUUUGUAUAAUGGGUCAGCGACUUAUAUUCUGUAGCAAGGUUAACCGAAUAGGGGAGCCGAAGGGAAACCGAGUCUUAACUGGGCGUUAAGUUGCAGGGUAUAGACCCGAAACCCGGUGAUCUAGCCAUGGGCAGGUUGAAGGUUGGGUAACACUAACUGGAGGACCGAACCGACUAAUGUUGAAAAAUUAGCGGAUGACUUGUGGCUGGGGGUGAAAGGCCAAUCAAACCGGGAGAUAGCUGGUUCUCCCCGAAAGCUAUUUAGGUAGCGCCUCGUGAAUUCAUCUCCGGGGGUAGAGCACUGUUUCGGCAAGGGGGUCAUCCCGACUUACCAACCCGAUGCAAACUGCGAAUACCGGAGAAUGUUAUCACGGGAGACACACGGCGGGUGCUAACGUCCGUCGUGAAGAGGGAAACAACCCAGACCGCCAGCUAAGGUCCCAAAGUCAUGGUUAAGUGGGAAACGAUGUGGGAAGGCCCAGACAGCCAGGAUGUUGGCUUAGAAGCAGCCAUCAUUUAAAGAAAGCGUAAUAGCUCACUGGUCGAGUCGGCCUGCGCGGAAGAUGUAACGGGGCUAAACCAUGCACCGAAGCUGCGGCAGCGACACUAUGUGUUGUUGGGUAGGGGAGCGUUCUGUAAGCCUGUGAAGGUGGCCUGUGAGGGUUGCUGGAGGUAUCAGAAGUGCGAAUGCUGACAUAAGUAACGAUAAAGCGGGUGAAAAGCCCGCUCGCCGGAAGACCAAGGGUUCCUGUCCAACGUUAAUCGGGGCAGGGUGAGUCGACCCCUAAGGCGAGGCCGAAAGGCGUAGUCGAUGGGAAACAGGUUAAUAUUCCUGUACUUGGUGUUACUGCGAAGGGGGGACGGAGAAGGCUAUGUUGGCCGGGCGACGGUUGUCCCGGUUUAAGCGUGUAGGCUGGUUUUCCAGGCAAAUCCGGAAAACCAAGGCUGAGGCGUGAUGACGAGGCACUACGGUGCUGAAGCGACAAAUGCCCUGCUUCCAGGAAAAGCCUCUAAGCAUCAGGUAACAUCAAAUCGUACCCCAAACCGACACAGGUGGUCAGGUAGAGAAUACCAAGGCGCUUGAGAGAACUCGGGUGAAGGAACUAGGCAAAAUGGUGCCGUAACUUCGGGAGAAGGCACGCUGAUAUGUAGGUGAAGCGACUUGCUCGUGGAGCUGAAAUCAGUCGAAGAUACCAGCUGGCUGCAACUGUUUAUUAAAAACACAGCACUGUGCAAACACGAAAGUGGACGUAUACGGUGUGACGCCUGCCCGGUGCCGGAAGGUUAAUUGAUGGGGUUAGCGGUAACGCGAAGCUCUUGAUCGAAGCCCCGGUAAACGGCGGCCGUAACUAUAACGGUCCUAAGGUAGCGAAAUUCCUUGUCGGGUAAGUUCCGACCUGCACGAAUGGCGUAAUGAUGGCCAGGCUGUCUCCACCCGAGACUCAGUGAAAUUGAACUCGCUGUGAAGAUGCAGUGUACCCGCGGCAAGACGGAAAGACCCCGUGAACCUUUACUAUAGCUUGACACUGAACAUUGAGCCUUGAUGUGUAGGAUAGGUGGGAGGCUUUGAAGUGUGGACGCCAGUCUGCAUGGAGCCGACCUUGAAAUACCACCCUUUAAUGUUUGAUGUUCUAACGUUGGCCCGUAAUCCGGGUUGCGGACAGUGUCUGGUGGGUAGUUUGACUGGGGCGGUCUCCUCCUAAAGAGUAACGGAGGAGCACGAAGGUUGGCUAAUCCUGGUCGGACAUCAGGAGGUUAGUGCAAUGGCAUAAGCCAGCUUGACUGCGAGCGUGACGGCGCGAGCAGGUGCGAAAGCAGGUCAUAGUGAUCCGGUGGUUCUGAAUGGAAGGGCCAUCGCUCAACGGAUAAAAGGUACUCCGGGGAUAACAGGCUGAUACCGCCCAAGAGUUCAUAUCGACGGCGGUGUUUGGCACCUCGAUGUCGGCUCAUCACAUCCUGGGGCUGAAGUAGGUCCCAAGGGUAUGGCUGUUCGCCAUUUAAAGUGGUACGCGAGCUGGGUUUAGAACGUCGUGAGACAGUUCGGUCCCUAUCUGCCGUGGGCGCUGGAGAACUGAGGGGGGCUGCUCCUAGUACGAGAGGACCGGAGUGGACGCAUCACUGGUGUUCGGGUUGUCAUGCCAAUGGCACUGCCCGGUAGCUAAAUGCGGAAGAGAUAAGUGCUGAAAGCAUCUAAGCACGAAACUUGC